rnacentral:rRNA from 1 species
ACUCAAAUGAAUUGACGGGGACUUGCACAAGCAGUGGAUUAUGCGGUUUAAUUCGAUGACAAACGAAAAACCUUACCAAGGCUAGAAAUCUACGUGAAGGCAUGCAGAAACGUAUGCCGUCCGCAAGGACUAGUAGACAGGUGAUGCAUGGCCGUCGUCAGUUCGUGAUUUGAAUUGUUCCCUUAAGUGGGGUAACGAACGCAACCCUCGUUGCCAGUUACAAGUGUCUGGCGAGACUGCUCCGGUCUGUGCGCGCAAAGCAAUUUGUACGCAGAGACCGGAGAGGAAGGCGAGGAUGACGCCAGGUCAGCAUGUCCCUUGAUGCCUUGGGCCACACGCAUAAUACAAUCGCAUCUACAACGGGUCGCGACGGGGUAACCCUGAGCUAAUCCUAAGAAAAGGUGCGCCAGUUCGGAUUGGGGGCUGAAACUCGACCCCAUGAAGCCGGAAUUGCUAGUAAUCGCGGGUCAGCUAUACCGCGGUGAAUACGUUCUCAAGUCUUGUACACACCGCCCGU